ensembl:lncRNA
UUUGUGUUUUAGUGGGAAGGGGGAAUCCAGAAAGGAUCGGGAGCGGAGAGACAGGGGCGAUCGCCGCCAGAGAUUGCAUUGAACGCACCCUGUGACCGCUUUGAGCGGAGUUAUAAUUUACCUUUAACCGAGUUAUGUUUUGAUGGACUUUGUUGGAGAGAAAAUAAAAGGACUUUCUGUUCAAAGAGCAAACCUGGUGUCCAAGCGCUCUGUGAACCCGUUACAGGCAUAAUUACUAUUUUGAAAAUCAUUGAAGACAUACUACACAAUUUGGGUAUAUAUAUACAUGAAAUAUGGAUUCACUGGCACUUUAAGGGCAUGAGGUGACACAGCCGUGCAUAUAUCAGGAUCUCGUUGCUAACCAUGUGAGCGCUUUGGUCGUAAAAGUCCGUCUGCGGCGUGAAAGAGUUCCUGCGCAUGGCGUUAGACAUCGGAGGCAGGGGCUGACCCUCGGGCUGGCCUAGGACAUGCUGAUCCAUCAUGGGCAUGUGUCCAGGGGAGGGGGGCGUGUGUGGGGACGGCUGACUCACCGGGUGUGGAGGCAUCGGAGUCAUUUGAUGGGGAGAGGGCUGGUUUACCGGAUAAGGGGCUUGGUUCGUCAGAUGGGGAGGUUGUUGGUUCAUCAGAUGGGGAGGUUGUUGGUUCAUCUGAUGGGGAGGUUGUUGGUUCAUCUGAUGGGGAGGUUGUUGGUUCAUCUGAUGGGGAGGUUGUUGGUUCAUCUGGGGGGGAGGAUGUUGGUUCAUCAGAUGGGGAGGUUGUUGGUUCAUCUGAUGGGGAGGUUGUUGGUUCAUCUGAUGGGGAGGUUGUUGGUUCAUCUGGGGAGGCAUGUGAGAGCCCAUGUGUCCCGGGUGAGGGGGCGAGGAGCUGGGCUGCUGCUGGAGAGGUGGAGGGUACAUGUCCGAGGGCUGGGGCUGCUGAGGCUCGUAGGGAGAGGGGCCGGAGUCGGGGACCUGCGGUAGGUAGCCUGCGGCCGGGCCGGGGGGCACGGGGUAGAACUGGUGGACCUCUGAUGGGUGGUGCUGUGGAACCAUGCCGUCUUGGAGGAUGGUAGUUGGGGCUGUAAGAGAACAUAUAGUGUAUUUAUAACACAUAUUUAGAUUUACAUGAAGAAAUAACCAAUAGCUCAAUAACUUGCUAACUUCAGUUAUAUGUAAGAUACAGAUGGUGGAUUUUAAGUAUAACACAAACACAUACCUCAUGAUGUGUGCCCAUAUGAGAAAACGACUGCAUGGAUUUUGUGUAUCAUCUUAUCCUAGCUAGCUGUGUUGCAUAUGGG